CAAGUCAAGACCCAGCCCACUGGAUGCAUCGCUGGGCUGCAAGAGGGGCGUGUCCUCAGGCCCCGCCCCCUGUGUCAGGCCACGCCCCCAGAGCUGUCAC